UACGUAGGUGACAAGCGUUAUCCGGAAUACUGGGCGUAAAGCGCACGCAGGCGGUCAGAUAAGUCUGAUGUGAAACCUUUCGGCUUAACCGAAAGACGUCGUUUGGAUACUGUCUGUCUUGAGGUAAUGAGAGGAGUGCGGAAUUCUCGGUGUAAUGGUGGAAUAUGUAGAUAUCGAGAGGAACAUCUGUGGCGAAAAGCGGCACUCUGGCAUUUGCCUGACGCUCAUGUGCGAAAGCGUGGGGAGCAAACGGG
rnacentral:rRNA from 1 species